AAGGCAGAGUCAAGAAUGUCUGCCCUGUUAGUUGCUGCAACGACAAUGAUGCCAGUAUUACCCUCAAAACCAUCCAUUUCUGUCAGAAGCUGGUUAAGGGUCUGCUCUCUUUCAUCAUUUCCUCCGCCAAUUCCAGUUCCUUCAUAUCAUAAUUCGAUCGAAUAAUAAAUUAACACAAUGCAAGGAGCAUUCUCUUUGGCCUUCUUGAAGAGAUCCCGGACUCGAGAGGCACCAACACCAACACCAACAAACAUCUCAACAAACUCCGAACCUGAAAUGGAGAAAAACGGAACACCCGCUUCACCAGCAAUUGCCUUGGCCAGAAGAGUCUUCCCAGUACCUGGAGGUCCAACAAGAAGAACACCUUUCGGAGUGCGAGCCCCUACUGCAGUGAAUCUCUCAGGCUUCUUGAGAAACUCCACUACCUCCAUGAAAUCCUGCUUUGCUUCAUCCACUCCAGCAACAUCAUCAAAUGUCACCCCAGUGUUUGGUUCCAUUUGGAACUUUGCCUUAGAUUGCCGAAAGCUACAAUAAUUUCCUGUUCACUUUUUUUUUUAGGGUUUUUAAAAUUCUAAACCACCAAGCAUGUCGGGCGUUGUGUCACUAAUAAAUGGUGUUGUCCAUUGAGAUGCAUGAUACAGGCAAGUGGCCGAUGAUGUCUAUGUUUAUUCUUGUGAAGUGAUUCUCUAAUUAUAUAUUUGAAAAUAUUUAAUUAGUCAACCUAUAUUAGAGUUUUGUAUACAUUCUACUAAACCUCUCUUAAAACUCUAAUUAAGAAGAAGCUAGAGUUUUGACCAAAUUGAAUUUUCUUGUGCCUUUUAAAUCGUGCAAGUGAGGAGAGGUUUUGAUUUUUGAAAAUAUUAUUUUUGAUCUUUCAUUUUUGAAAAAAUUUGAAUUAUAGGUUUGGGUAUACAAAUAAAUACAAAUAAAAAUAUAUUUCAACAUAUAAAACCAUGCCAACAUUACUUAUAGGGAUGGGAUUAAAAAAAAACAAUUUCAGUGACCAAAGUGUAAAGGGAAGAAAUUUCAAGGAUCAAGAAAAAAAUUGACUAUAAAUAGUGAUGUGAAGAGAAAAAUAUGAGAGGACAAAUAGUUGAUCAACAGUAAAAACAUCAAAUGUAUUAGUUUCUCUUGUAAUGUAAUUAUAGGUUUGGGUCAAUUAUAUUUCCAUCUUGUGUUUUUUAUUAGGUUGAUUAACCUUUAUAUUAUUUGAAUUCAUUCAAUUAACCCAUGUGUUUUUAUGAAUUUAUUUAAUUAACCCAAUAAGGCAAUAAUUAAUCUAUAUCAAGUCUUAAUGUUAACCUUGUGUGCUAAUUAUAUAGUAUUUAAAUAUUUCUCACUACUGAGAUAAAAAAAAAAAUGUUUAUGUAUAAAUAAGUUGUUUUAGAAAAAAAUAUUCAAAAUGUUUUUUUAAUAAAAACUCCAUGAUUAAACAAUUACCUUUUCUUUUCAACUUGAGUAGUUUUGUUUCAAUAUUUAUUUCCUUGGAUUUUCAUUAAAAAUAUUUAUUACUUUUAAGUUUUUUUAGCUUUUAAGAUGUAUAUGUCACAACUGCAUCCCCACGGGAUGGAGAAUAUUUUUUUUCUUUAACACAAAAAAGUAGGGCAUUGUUAAUAUUUAUUUUACCAACAAGAAAAAAACUGAAAAGUUUAUAUAUUUAUUUAAUAAAAUAAAUUAAAAAUUAUAUAUUUAAUAAAUAAUAAUAAAAAUGUUGAUUUCAAUCAAUGAUUGAGUUGGGAAAAAAAUAUUGAAUAUUUGUUUUAGUUUGAAAUUGAGUUUCUAAAAUUUUAAUUGAUUUGAGUUAAUAAUUUUCUUUUUCAAAUCGAGCAUUAACUCAACGUUAAAACUUAUUUUUAACAUCAUGAGAGCAUUAUAUAAACUCAACCAAAAUAAAACAUCAAAUCCAAUUACAAAUCAUCUUAACGUGAAAUGAUUAAAUUGAGAAAAAAAAAGUUAAAUUAAAAAAAAAGAAAAAAGAAAAAAAAAACAUUAUGGGUAUUGCAACUUACACUAGAUUAUGUCUUUCUUAUGUUGCAUUUCAAUCUCUCUUUUUUUUUUUUUUUGUUAAUAUUUCUUCCAUCUUGCAUUGCAUCUCAUAAGCAUUAAUUUUACAAAAUCCAAUUACAAUUGUUAAAUAGAAAAAAAAAAGAUCUAAUAAAAAAAGAUGUGAAUGAAUAAAAAUUGAAGGCGGUUAACUGUUUAUAUAUUUCUUUAUUUUUCAUUGUUUUAUUUGUUCAUGAUUUCAAAUAUUAUUUCAUGGCUUACCGAGCAAAAAUGAUCUAAUAAAAAAAAAAACGAGUGGAAAAAAUAAAUUUGAUAUGGUUCACUAUUAUGAUGAUAAUGUUUUCACUCCAAAUGUUUCAAGGUUUAUAUAUAUACGAGAUGACAUGCCCGCGCGCUGCCGCGAGCUUAUAAAAUAAAUGUACUUGAUAGUGUUAUAAUUAUGAACCAGCGCUAGAUAAGUAAUAGAAAUUAAAGGUAUGAUGAAACAAAUAUUUCAUGACAGAAAAAAAAAGUUGUGUUGGUGAACAAAAACUUAGAGACUGAACAAAAUGAUUUGUAGCAAUCUAUAGUGUUUUAUGAGGAAAGAUACAGUGCUUUCACCACAUGAUUUAGCUUUUCAGUUAAUAAAAAGAAAAAAAAAUUACAAAGCUAAAUUCUCUACCAACUUAAUAUAAAAAAAAACCAACAAAGAUAAUUUUGGAAGGAAAAAAACCCAUGAGAAAAAACGUUGCAGCAAUUGACAAUGUUUUGUGAGGAAAACUAUAGUGCUUUUCCCAAUAAAAUAAAAUAAAAAACCAUUUAGAGAAAUAUUGUAGCAAUCCACAGUGUUUUGUGAGAAAACUACAACGCUUUUCUCAUAUGAUUUAACUUUAUUGUAAUUAUAAUUCUUAACCAACUCAAUAUUAAAAAAAAAAUUGACAAAGAUAAUCAUGGAAAAAAUCACAUGGGAAAACACUGCAACAAUUCACAGUGUUUUAAAGAAAAAAAAUUACAAAGCUAAAUUCUUAAUCAACUCAAUAUUAAAAAAAAAAUCGACAGAGAAUUUUAGAAAAAAAAAAUAACAAAACAAACACCAAAAAAAGGAAAAAAAAAUCAUGUUGGAAACACUGUAGCAAUUCACAGUGUUUUGUGAUGAAAGUUACAGUGCUUCCCCACAUGAUUUAACCUUAUUUGUAAUGACUUGUAAUUGUAAUUCACAAACAACUCAAUAUUAAAAAAAUAAAAUUUAAAAAGAUAAUUUGAACAAAAUUAUAACAAAAAAAACCCAUGCGGAGAGACACUGUAGCAAUCAACAAUGUUUUAUGAGCAAAGCUACAAUACUUUCCCCACGUGAUUAAGCUUUAUUACAAAGUUAAAUUCUAACCAACUCAAUAUUAAAAAAAAUAAAAUCGACGAAGAUAAUUUUGAAAAAAAAUAUUACAAAAAAGAAAACACAAAAGAAACUGGAAAAAAACCAUGUGAGGAAAAGCUGUAUCAAUCCAUAGUGUUUUGUGAGGAAAAACUUGUAUUUACUUGUAAUUGCAAUUCUUAACCAGCUUAAUAUUUUAAAAAUAAAAUUGACAAAGACAAUUUUAGGGAAAAACAUAACAAAAACAGAAAAAAAUCAUGUGGGAAAAAACACUGUAGCAAUCAACAGUAAUUUUCGAGGAAAGUUACAGUACUUUCCUCACAUAUUGUAACUAUAAUUUUUAACCAGCUCAAUAUUAAAAAAUAAAAUAACAAAAGAUAAUUUCGUAGAAAACCAUAAAAAAAAACCACGCGGAGAAACACUGUAGCAAUCAACAAUGUUUUAAAGAAAAAAAAUUACAAAACUAAAUUUUCAAUCAGCUCCAUAUUAAAAAAAAUCGACAAAUAUAAUUUUGAAAAAUAAAAAAAUAAAAUAGAAAAACUAUGUGGAAAAACAUCACAGCAAUCCACAGUAGUUUAAAGAAAAAAAUUACAAAGCAAAAAUUUUAACCAGGUCAAUAUUUAAAAAGUAAAAUCAACAAAAAUAAUUUUAAAAAAAACAAAAGAAAAAAUAAAUGAAAAAAAAAUAGAAAAGUUGAAAAAAAAACAAAAAAAAAACAAAAAAAAAAGUUAGAAAAAAAAAAGAGAGGAAAGCACUGUGGAUUACAAAUCCACAGUGCUUUUGGGUGUGGGGGAACAGUGAUUCCCCCACACCAUUUAGAAUAUAUAUAUAUAUAAACACACACACACAUGACCUUCUUAUACCCUAUAACUAUUAGUUACCACUGUGUCACCCUUGAAGUCACAUAGCAUCACAAAGAAAGAAAGAAAUCAACCUGAAGAGUAUAGUUUAAUUGGUCAAGUCUUGAGUUUGCUCCCUAAAAGUCAUCAAUUCGAGUGCCAUAAAUUUCAGGGCCACUGAAAAUUUACAUGGUCGUUAACUUUAGGCAUCGGGGGAUUAAUCAAGGUACGUAUAGGCUGGCCCGGACACCCACAUUUACCAAAAAAAAAAAAAAAAAAAAGGAAGAAAGAAAUCUUAUGCCAAGAUGGCAAAGCAAUUGCAAUUAUGCCCACGUUUCAAAAGAGCAAUGCGUAACUUGUGUGGGUAAUCCAAAAGAAAUUACAUCCUUUAAUUUUCAUCACCAUUACUUGCUUGCUCGGGUGAUCUAGGAUCCAUAUUUUGUGCAUCUUCAGAUGAGAUGACCAGCCUAUAUAAGAUAAAUAUGCAACAAAAACCUGUGAAAACCAAGAUAAAGACCACUAUAGCGUGGCAAAUAACAUGUAUAUUGAUAUUCAAUAAUGGAACACACCAAAAACUAAUCCCACUUAGCGGUAUGCAUACAGCUUGAAACCAUGUCAGAACUUAAAACUUUCAGUCUAAUUUGGUCAAUUUGCACAGUGAAUGGACAGAAACUGAAAGAAGUUUCAAACAAAUUUUAAAAAGAUUCUAAGUUCUAAUCAUACAAGUAUCAAAGAGGAUUCCUGUUGUUGUAUCAAAGCCUCCCUUCCACAGUUAUGAACUCAACAGAAUAUAGGAGUUCAUACAAGUAUCAAAGAGGAUUCCUGUUGUUGUAUCAAAGCCUCCCUUCCACAGUUAUGAACUCAACAGAAUAUAGGAGUUCAGAACAAAAUCUUCAUCAAUUUCUGAGAGUAUCAUUUCUACACAAUAUUUAUGUACAGUACCUGUCUGUUUCGGUUGAAAUGCUUGAAGACACAACUGAAACCAAAGAUGCAUUAUCUUUGACCUCUCCACCUGGAAAUAUGCAAUUAAGCUUAAAUUUCUGUCCUCUCCAGACAAAGACUUUGUCAGAAACAUUAUCUAAACUGCCUUCUGACUAAUCAGGUGCAAGAAAAGAAAUUCCAAUGAAAACAGAUGUCAUCCUUAGCAUAAUCAUUGUCAUCCUUAGAGCAUCAAAUACGUAUUCCUAGUACAAAUAAGUUUGCCAGUUGAACUAAAUCCUACAAUAUAGGCUACAUGGAACCAGUUCGAUAAAUAAGCCUCCAGUGAUGGAGAUAUCAACAUUCCAUAAACAUAAAAAACACAAUGUAUAUUGACUAGCUAGCUGCGCGCAGAUCAAACUCCCAGGCAUUCUACAAAUUAGGAGAUGAGGGCAGACACCUUCUGUAUCAGAUCAGUGCCUUAAAUGUAAUAGAUGGGACUUGUACCAAUUGAAAGGUACUCAAAAAAGAAAUAAAACCAAGAUAAACGGGUUGAUCAGUGUGCCAGGCAAUGAAGGGAGGAAGGAGAAGAAAAUUAUAACUCAAUUCAACACUAGAAUGCAUAGAACAAAGUUUUUUUUUUUUACAUCACAAAGGACAAGCUUUUCUAAUGGUUGCCAAACUCUGUGAGGUCCACCCUUAAUGGGAGCAUCAAUGGACAAAUUGGAUUAAUUCAAACAUGUCACCGAGAUGUGUGUUCAUGUGUGUGUGUGUUUGUUUAUAGAUAGAUAGAUAGAUAUAGAGAGAGACAGAGAGAGAGAGAGAGAACCUGAUGUUCCUAAAAAUAUACAAAUCCUGUACAAAUGGAGAAGAAAGUCCAAACAAUCUUAAACAUUGGCACAAUGAGAAUUGCAUCAAACAGUGCCAGCCCUUCAUUCAACCUUGUCAUCUGCAUAAGCAGGAAGCAGCACAGGAUUAGAUGUUUGGCACAUUGUUAUCUCCACCAUGUUACAAAUAAGAAGAAACCAUUUGACUUGUAUUAUCUUACCCAAAAUCCAACUGUAUUAAGAAAUUAAAGAAGCAUGGAGUAAGUAAACCAGCUGUACAACUGAUAAUCACUAUACAUGGAUAAUCUUAACAGAUUGGAGAUGGAAGCAAAACACUUGCCAUAAUAAUAAAACACAAAUGCCCAAUUUUAGCAGUUCUCAGAAAGGCAAGGAAAUGUUAAGCAGAAGCAUACAGAGAUUUGGCAAACAAUACUGAGAAUGAUCCUACUGCACCCAAAACUACAACAUACGAGAAAGGAAGAAGCAUAUGCCAAUAUGGUCUAAGAUCUUGUCCUGAAAUGGCAAGCAUAAUUUCUCUUCUCUUGCAUAUUGUUGCUAAGGUCAAAUGUGAAAACAGUGAGAUUUUGACUUGAAGAUGCAUCCCCAAAACAAAUGAGAAAUGAUAGCCAAUCUCCAAACCUCACCUGUAAAUGUAAUGAUGCAAGGCAACAAGAAGUAUCAAUAUCAGACAGUAAAAGAGGAACGUCAUGUUACUGUAUUUCUCUGUCAACUGCUCUGUCGUGUAUACUGAUAAGAUUCAUAUGAAACUCAACCUAAAUGAUCCUUCAACACUUUCUACACUCUCUAACAAUUCCCCAUCAAAUUUUUUCACCCAAUACCAAACUCAACCUAAAUGAUCCAUUGUUUAUGGAUCUCAAAGGACAGAACUAUAAUAGCCCUUUCUGAGUUGUUAUAGCUAAUUAUGCAACUCACAAGCUUUCCCUACAGCUUGUUCUCAGUGCUAAAUACAAUUUCAAAAACUCAUGUCUCUUCCGAAUUUUAAAGAACUUUCAAAGGUGCCUGUUAUGUUAAGCUAGCAAACGUGAACAGUGGCUCAGAAAGUAAAAAAUAGGGCAAACAAGUGUAGCAAAGACAAAGACAGUCGAGUACCAGGAUACUAAUGAUUUCCAAAAGCAACUAGAAAUGUACAAUAAAGGCUGCGGCUACCAGGACUUUGAAAAAAACAAGGAAAAUAUCGAUCAAUUGGGAUCAACUUAAUAACACCAAUGUGAUGAGUGGAAUGUAAAAUAUAUACUUCUAUGAUUCUUAAAAUUUAUGUCACUUCUUAUUUCACAUACUCCACAGUGACUAUUUUGUUUAACUUUUUCAUAACACUGUUUCAAUCCACAUUACAACUCUAUGCGUUAAAUGACCUAUUAUAAAUUUUAUAGAUUGAAUUAAUCAUAAUCCUUUAGCAAUAUACUGCAAACAUCGAAUCUAAAUUUUAAGAGAUAAACAAAAGUCACCACGAACAAGUAAAGAUUGCUGAUAAUCUUUAGAGUCUCAUAGAAUAUCAAAUUGAGAUCUUAAUUUGUAUCACUAUUACUAUCAAUUUGAUUUUGUAUGAGACUCUAAAGAUUAUUAGCAAUCUUUACUUGUUCCCGAUGACUUUUGUAUUACUAUUAAUUAUACGCAUAUGUGGUAUACAACACACAUAAUGUUUAAAUUUGAGUUCAAUCAUUUACAAUAUCAUUUUGUUUUGUCUUAGAUUUUAUGUCUUUAUCAAUAAUACCUUAUAGAUGAUACUUCAAACAUACUUAAUGUUUAAAUUUGAGUUCAAUCAUCUACUCAUUCAUUUUUUACUUAUUAUAACCCACAUUUAGCGAUAAGACAAAUAAAGUCACAUUUUAAAUAAUUACUUUGGGGUGAAAGUUAUAACACAUAUUCCAUUGACCUUUUUAUAUACUUUUUUUAUUCAGAUGACAUAUCAUAUAUUAAUUUUGACGCUCCUGUCCCACUCAAAUAACAAGCUUAAAAUUAUCUUAUCCUUAUUCAUUAUAAUAUAAUAGAUUUGAUUGUCUAUGUGAGAAGGCCAAUCUUUUAUUUUUCCAAUAUAGUUCUUAUAAUUUGUUAUUUUUAACAUGCAUAUAAGUAUAACAUAUAACUUAUGUAAUUAGGCAUCAAUAACAUUAUUAUUAUUAUUAGAAAUGUUCAUGAACAUUAUUGGGAAAAAAAUAUUUUACAUUAAUACAUCAAUAUCUAUGUAAUCCUAGUGACUUAACAUGCCUAUUGAAAACAUCUAUUGAAAUAGGCUUUGUAAAUGGACCUGUAAUCAUUUUUUGCGUAAAUAUGUACUUCAUAUUCACUUAUUUAUGUGAAACCAUAUCCUUAACAUAAUUAUACUUGAUAUCUAUAUGUUUGGUUUGUUCACGGUACUUAGGGUCUUUUAUAUAUGUUAUUACAACUUGACAAUCAUAAUUCACUUAUACUAGGUUAAUAGCACUAUUAGACACCCCUAAAAUGAACUAGAAAAAGUCUCAACCAAAUAACCUCUUGUACUACAAUUGAAAGUGCCACAAAUUUAGCUUUCAUCGUAGAUAAGACUAUACAAUAUUAUUUCUUACUACUCCAUAAUAUGGUGUCAUUAUUCAAGAAGAAGAAAAAACUAGAGGUGUAAAACCCCCAACCUAAAAAUUGGUAAAUUAGUGUUAAAUAGUGUAAUUUUAAUUGAAAAAUAAUAAAUUAUGAGAAAAAAUUGAUGCGAACACCUCCCAAGAUACACUAAAAUCAUAUUUGAAUGGUUUGCAACUUGACCCAACACGAACCUGCCUUGAAAACUAAAGUAAUACACAAUGAUCACUCUCAUCCUAUGUCUAUAAAGAGAUGCGAACAAGUAGUAUAAAAUCAUAACAAAGUUUAUCAAUCCUUUAAAGAUUUUGUAAGUUCAAUCAAGAACUUAGUAUUGGAAUUACUUAACCACACAAAAAGAUAGCAAAAAUGAUAUGGUUCAGGUUUAGCCUUGGAUUCCUUAUAGUAAGCAUUUGAUUAUGUGUUUGAGAUUCGUUGUUAAUAUGGUUUAGAUUUGGGUUUUCAUGAUGGGUUUUUUCCUAGAGAUGCAUUCGGUCAGAUUGAGGUUUUUAUGGAUGAUGGGUUCGACCCGAUUCUUUUGGUGGGUAAUUCUAUCAGAUUAGGACAUGCUAUGCAUGAGAUGUUUUUUGGGCAUCAAAUAAAGUUUAUUUAGAGUGUAUUUUGGGUCUGGUUUGGUCCAUAUUAAUGAAUAUGAGUUUAGGCUACAUGAGUCCAAAGUUGGCUUGGUCUAAUUAAGAUGCUGAGAUUAGAUUAGAUUUGUUUAGGGCUGAUUUCCUAAUUCUACAAGGACUUAAAUCAACAAAAUAUUCUUCUAAAAGUCAAGAAAAUUUCAUUUAUUUAGGAGAAUAUUUAACAACAAAGAAGAAAGUUUUCUAGUCAACAAAGGAUGUUAGGGGGCUGCUAAGCUAGAAAGGGUUAAUUAAUGAUUCUUCUAGUGUAAGAAGGAAACUAAAUUAACAAGUAUAAAAGAAAUAGAUUUUCUUCAUUAAUUGUCCAUGUAAAACAAAGAAACCAAGCAUAAUAAGGCAAUAAGACUUCAGAAUUAAUUAUACAUUCAGAUCACGUUUCCUAGUCUAUUUGAGACUUUUUAGGGGUGACAAAUUUGAUUCUGGCAUAUCUAGGAUAUUAAUUUUGGAUUUUUAUUAUUUUUAGUCACACAAUCCCAAAUAAAUCUGAUCUGAUUCCAACAUCUUAAUUAACUCAAGCCAAACUUAUAAUCAUAUGCAUCAUAUCUUUAAUUUCUAAAUAAUGUUGCAAUUUAAUCAUAUUAGCAAUAUCUCUACUUAAACCAUUUAAAAAUCUAGUCAUUGUAGCUUUCUUAUAUUAAAAAACAUUAGCUCUAAUCAUAGCUAUGUUUUAUCUCCUUAAAAUACACAUCAACACUUUAGAACCCUGAGAUAAAGAUUGCAAUCUAUUAUAGACUUCCCUAUAGUAAUGAUUAGGGACAAACCUUUUCCUCAUGAUUGCUUUCAUCUCCUCGCAUGUGUCAAUGAGUCUUUCUUCAUUACACCUUCUACUUGUAACAAAUUGAUCCCACCAAAUAAUAGCAUAAUCAAUGAAUUCAACUACAACUAUCUAGUUUUACCUUGUAUUCGUAUGAAUAUCAAUGGCAAUCAAAUACAAAUUCUACCUUCUUUUCCUAAUCUAAAUAAGUAUCUGGAUCAUUCUUUCCCUGAUAUACUAGAAUUUUAAAUUUUAUGCUACCCAAAUUACAAUCUAAAUCAUUAAAAUCCCUCCCUUGGCUAAAAUUUGGUUAAAAUCUAUCACCAAACUCUCUCCUUCACCAUGUCUAAUGUAAAGGAUUUUGAUGUGUAUGAGAAUUUCUUCCAUGAUUAAUUACAUCAUCCUCCUCCUCCUUAUCAAAGUUUUUAGUUACACUAUCAUUUAGAGGGGAGAGUGCUCGUCUAGUAGACCUUUUUAACAUCUUUUUCUUUACGACUAUAAACAUCAUGUCUAUAAAUCAUAUAAGUACUUAAUUUAUCCAUCUUUCCCAUCAAAACCUCUAUCAUUACCUCCAACCUAUCUUGUUUCUCUAUAAGAUCCUUUGUCUUCGAUUAUGUCACACCUUUUGAGAUUGUGAAUACCUGCAAUAAAGGUUAGUAGCAAAGAUGAAUUUCCUUACAGACAUUCUAUUUAAUGUCACUCCACUCGUGUUUCACACAACUCAAUCGAGAUUUUCACUUUAAUAAUCUCAUUAUACCCUUUUACCUUACUAUUCCCUUAGGUUCUUAAAGGUAACUUAACAACUUAUCAAAUAAUCAAUCAAAACAAUAUAAUGAUUUUAUAAUAAUGAAGACUCAAGAAUCAAGAAAUAUACGUAACUAAUCGAAAAUAAAACAUAAGGAUAAAUUUACGAAUAACAAUGUAAAUUAAUGCGAAAUAUAAUGAGAGUUUAUGUUAAAUAUUCAAACAAAACUAACUAAUUCAAGAAGUCAAGAUUCAACUUCAAGAAUUUCAAGAAAACAAUUAAAAUAAAGCAAGAAAGAUCUAUUCUAACUAAUUUGUAAUGAAAUAAGACAAGAAAAUCCAAGAAAAACAAGAAUUUAAUUCGGCAAUUCCAAGAUUUGGUAUGUACCUAUUCGGCAAAAUCAAGAAAAUACUCAAGAAACUUUUGGCCAACCCUAAAAUUCAAAAGCUUGUAUUCGAUUAUGCCGUAACUUGUCAAUUCAAUGAAUUCUUGCCAUUUUCCUUCAACUUUUUCUUUUUUUUAUCCACACAAUUUGGAAAGAACAAGAUUUCUUUUCCUUUUUUUUUUACUCUAGGCCAAAUAAAAAAGAACAAAAGUUAUACACUAAAAUCAUAAUUUUUCUUUGACGUGUUCAACAAAAUCAAGAAUCUAAGCAAGGUGAUUUUUUUUAAUACAGGGGUUGGCCAAACUUUGAAAUAAUAAGAGAGAAAAAUAUUUUUUUUAAAAGAAACAAGACCUUAACUGAACUAGAAAGGGAAAAAAAAAGCAAGAAAGAACACAAACUAAAUAUUAAAGGGAUAUAACUUGAUAAUAGCACAAGCUAUGAUAUCAAUUGAUGUGAACACCUCCCAAGAUACACUAAAAUCAUAUUUGAAUGGUUUGCAACUUGACCCAAUAAGAACAUGCCUUGGAGAACAAAGUUAUAUACAAUGAUCACUCCCAUCCUAUUCAUAUAAAGAGACGUGGACGAGUAAUAUAAAAUCAUAAUAAAGUUAAUCAAUCCUUUAAAGAGUUUAUAAGUUCAAUCAAGAACAUAUUAUGAGAACCACUCAACCACAUAAAAGAUAGCAAGAAUGCCUAUUUAUUUAUUAAAAUUAGUCUUUUUUAAAAAAAAAGUCUCUGCAAAAAAGUAUUUAUAUUAGAAAGAAUCUUAAACCUAAUGGAAUAUCCUUAAUGAAUAUGGAUAAACCUAAUAAAUAAUAAUAAAAGCUACGAAUGUUUACUUUCCAAUUCAACUAAAAGCAUAUUAACAUUCCUUUUGUAACUCCAUUUAUGACCAAAAUAGUAGUGAAAGGUCAAAAUUGACAGUUUUGAAUCUUUUUAUUCCAAUCUUUUUGUAAUGUCUGAAUGCCCAGCUAUAAGCCCUUCUUAAACAUGAAUUAAAAUAAUCAAGACUUGUAUUUCAUUAUUUAAGAUCUUCUUGAAGCUCACCUUAGCCCAUGUAUCUUAUAUAAGUUAAUUGAAAACAUCUUCGAAUCUUUUAGCCAUAAGUCUUGUCACUAGACCAACUAGAACUUCUAAUGAAUCUCUUUGUGUUAUUUAGAUUGCAUAACAAAUUAUUGUGAUUUGGGAUGAACAUAUCCAUUAAAUUAACUUAAAUUUAAGAUGAAAUAAAGUAAUAAAAUCAGUACAUGAAAUGAUAACUGGUGAUAAAUCGCGUAAACAUCCUGAUAAGAUAAAAUAAUUAUUUUAAAUGAAUAAUUUUUAUAAAUUUAGGGUGAGAAUAUUUAUAAAAAUAAAAGGUAAUGCUAAAUAAAUUAACGUUUUAUUUUACAUGUAAAUAUCGCUAACUGACAAUCACAUAGUUUUUAACCAAAAAGAAAGGAAAUCUGAGUGAAACAUUUUUAUUAUGAUAAGGGAUGAAAUUAUUCAAUGAAUUAGUUUGAGAAUAUUGAUGAUUUAAGUAAAUGAAACAAUAUGGAAAUUCAGUUUUUCGCGUAAAAAAUACCUAUUGUCCAAAUUUACAAUAUCAAGCAUAACUCUCAAUCUGAUUAUUGAAUCAAACUAAAAUUUUACAAGGUAUCUUCUCACAUAUUGUUCUAUAUUGGGUUAAAAGUUUAGGGCAAUUUGAGUGCGGGAAGGCCUUGAGAGAGUGCAGAUGGUCGGAAACAAAAUACAAAAAAUAACAUAUAAACUCAUUAAUGACAUUGUCAUAAUUUUAGCAAAACAAUUCCCCCUAGCACUAUUCAUGUCGAUAGCCCUUACAAGAGAAGAGAAGAGAAAGAACUGGAUGUUGAUAUUUUUUACAUAAGGGGAAGAAGAAUAAGAAGAAGAAGAAGAAAGGAGGCCUGUUUGUUGUGAAAUGAGGGAUUCCAUACUUUUUAUUUGGGGGUUUUACUAAUGGAUAAUUAAAUAUAAAUAUUUUUAAUCAUUCCGUCGGUGAUAUUUAAUUUAAAUUUUUAAUUUAAUAAAAAAUUUUCAGAAAUCGUCAAAUAUCACCGACGACUUUUCAAUUCGUCGGUGAUUCCGUUUGUAAUAUUUAAUAUAAAAUUUUAAUUUAAUCAAAAUUUUCAAAAACCCGCCAAAUAACACCGAUGACUUUUCAAUUCAUCGAUGAUUUUGUCUGUAAAGAACAGUAAUUAACAAUGCAAUUGGGAAGUAAACAGUUCUAGAGUUCGGUAGAAAACACUAAUGGAAUUUUUUGUUGGUGAUUUUCUUUGUAAUUGACAUGAUGAACAGUGUCAGAGAGAAUUUAAUAGUUUACCAAUAGUUUUACUGAUGAAAUUAAUUUCGUUAAUAUAAAUGAUACGUCAUCAUAUUUUUUGGCUUUGUUUUAAUUAUUAUUUUUCCUACUAUAAUUCCCUCGGUAUAUACCGAGAGAAUAUUUUCGUCGGUAAAAUUCAUUGUAAUUUACAGACGAAAAUAUUUCAUUAGUAUUUCCAUUUGUAUUUAUUAAUUUUCUAGUAGUGUGUAAAGUCACACUUACAUAGCGGGAGGUUGGACAAUUUCUCUGGCGGUUUACUAUUCCAAUGCUUCACUCUUUCUUUCUAUCCUUGUAAGCCCUUCUCCUUUCAAAACUCCCAUCUUUAAAACCCUCUCCUUUUAGAGAAAUCAUUAAGUAGACAUGAUGAUUGCACCUGGAUAAGAAAUUUCCAUGUAUAUAUACACACACUUUCGGUUUUUUAAACUGAUUACAACUUCCAUGCACAUCAAGGUGACAAUUCAUGUGUUUCUAGUGUAUGAGACCGUAACUGAUACCAAACGUUUAUGAAGGACUUCACUACAUUUUCUAUUGAGUGAUGAAGUUACUGAAUUAGCCUCUGAAGUCACAACAAGAUGGUCAUUGCUAGGUUUCGAAGUAGUUUUUAUUCCUUCUUCCACAAAAUCAAAGAUGCAAAUUAUACAUUUAACUAGCUUUAAGAUGUAUGGUUAAAGUUACAGUGAACAUAUGGGGAGUUAAAAGAGUUUGAUAGAUUGUUUAAUAUGGCUGUAAAAUCUCCUUAACGAUGUGAGGAGAAGCCUUGGCAUUAUAUACUAACAUUAUAGCUAAAGAAUCCUAUAUAAUAGGAUUGGAUAAGUACAAAUUAACAAGUUGAUAGUUACAAGGAAUUCUAUGUUAAUUAGAAUGGAGAUAUCUUAGGGAUAACUCUUAUCACCCCCUGUAAGGUAAGCGUGGGAGAAGGGAGGACGCGAAGCUUGCUUCGAAAAAGAAAGAACUGUGGUUUAGACACACCUCUAGUAAGGGAGUUAGCAAGCUGCAAGGAAGAGGGAACAAAUUGUAACUUCAAGAAGCCAUUAGCAACAAGCUCGCAUACAAAGUGGUAGUCAAUGACAAUAUGUUUAGAUCGUGGUCGAGUAACAGGAUUAACAGCCAUGAAAAUAUCACUUUGAUUGUCACAACAUAGAGUAGGUGAAGUUGAUAGUGUAACAUGAAGGUCUCUAAGUAAUUGAACAAGCCAAGCAAUGUUAGCGGUGGCGACCGCUAAGGAGCGAUAUUCAGCUUCUACACUCGAUCACGAGAUAAUACUUUGUUUCUUAGAGGACCAUGAAAUUAAAUUGGAACCAAGAAAGAUUGCAUAACCAGUGGUAGAUUGACAUGUGUUAGGACGACCAGCCCAGUCAGUAUCAGAAUAAGCAAGAAGUUCAUAAGUGGACUGUUGUUACAGCUGAAGACCAUAAUGAACUCUACCUUUAAUGUAUCGUAAAAUACGUUUAAGUGCAUGAAAAUGAUCCUCUGUUGGAGCAUGCAUAAAUUGGCAAAUAAAAUUAACACUAAAUGACAAAUCAGGCCUUGUGAUUGUCAGGUAUUAUAGCGCAUCAGCUAAUGAACAAAACAAAGUAGGAUUAGUAUAUAAAGGCCCUUCAGCUGUCAAAUGUUGUCCCACAACAAAGGGUGUAGAGAUUGGCUUAGCAUCAACCAUGGAAGCUUGCUGCAAGAGAUCGAGGGCAAACUUUGUUUGACUAAGGAAUAGACCUUGAUCAUUAGGCUAAACUUUAACACCAAGAAAAUAAUGAAGAACACCUAAGUUUUUCAGUGAGAACUCCUUGGAAAGUAAAGCAAUAAAUUGAUGAAUUAAAGAUGUGCUACUGCCAGGAUAGAUAGACUGUCCCUAGAGCAGAAUGAUGGACAAACAACGAUGAAUCAACUUUGGUGCUUGUUUCAAGCCAUACAAUGCUCGUUUAAGGCAACAUACAUGUUGAGGAAAUAAAGGAUCAAUAUAGCCUAGAGGUUGUUCCAUGUGGACUUCAUCAUGAAGGAGGCCAUGGAGAAAGGCAUUAUUGACAUCAAGCUGAUGUAAGUGCUAAUGAGAGAAUCAGACAAACAGUAAUUGGGCGAACAACAUGACUAAAUGUGUCAUCAAAAUCAAGACCCUAAAUCUGAGAGAACCCUUGAGCCACAAGGCAUGUUUUAUGACAUUUAAUGGACCCAUCAGAUCGAAGUUUGAUCUUAAAAUUCAUCGGCAACCAACCAUAUUAUAAGAUGUAGAACGAGGGACCAGAGUCCAAGUGUUAUUCUUCUGCAAGGCUUGAAUUUCAGAGUUCAUUGCGGACAACCAUUCAGGGUGUUUGACAGCUGAUUUAAAACCCUGUGGCUCUUUAAAAGCAAGAAGAGCCUGAAGAGGUUGUGAAGAAGAGAAAACAGUUAUAACAUAUUAUGUCCAUGGUUUAAAAACACCAGUCUUCCCUCUAGUAACCAUGGGAUGUCUGUUAGUGAGCAGAGAAGGUUGGGAAGACUCGAGAGAUGUUGAGGCUACAAUGGAAGAGGAGGGAACAGACAGAGAUGAUUAUUGAGUGAAGGAGUCUGCAUAUAUAGGAAGUAUUUGGGCUGGACUGUCACUACAGGGUAAACAUAGAGAACUGGACAAUUAUGGUGAGAUGACAGAGUCAGAAGGAACGGAAACAGAAGGAUUAGACACACAUUCUGCACAUUCAGAGAAAAUAUUAUAAUCAUUGGUGGACGACAUGUUAAGGACUGAACCAUCAAUAUAAGGAAAAACAAUUUCAAAAAAUUUUACGUGACGAGAAACAUAGACACGACGUGUCUGUCGAUCAAAACAUCGAAAUCCUUUAUGAAGAGUACUGUAACCUAAAAAGACACAUGGAGCGGAUUUUGGAAAUAAUUUAUGUGGUGAAUCGCGUAAAUAAGGAAAACAAAGACACAUAAAGGUAUGAAGCAUGGAAUAAUCAGGUUUCUGACCAAAUAAUAGAACAUAAGGAGUCUUACCACUAAGAGACGGUGAAGGGAGUCGGUUUAUGAGAAAUACUGCAAUGAAGAAUGCCUCAACCCAAAAGAAUAUUGGCAUCACCAAUUUCUUUUGUUAAUGGUUAUCGCUACUACGUUGUUUUUAUCGAUGACUGUACUCGAUUUAGUUGGAUGUUUACUUUGAAACAUAAAUUUGUUUUUUUAUAUAUACAUUCAUCAAUUUCCAAAAUACAUUACAACGCAAUUUUCAGCAAAAAUAAAAUCAUUUCAAUGUGAUGGUGGGACUGAAUUUACAAAUACUAAAUUUUGAAAUCAUUUACAAUCUCAUAAUAUUGUUCUUCGUCUAGCAUAUGCAUACACUCCUAGUUAAAAUGGCAUUGCCGAACGCAAACAUCAUCAUGUUAUGGAAACAAGUCUUACUCUUAUGUUAUCACAAUGUAAAGGAUCAAAAUGAAUGUCACAACGUUUAUCAUUAAAAGAAAAGGGUAAACGAUGGCUUUUACCAAGCUGACAACCAUUGCAAAGAGAAUAAUCUAUUUGUAUCAAUUUAUCACUACAAGAAAUAGAUCAUAUUCUAGAGAGAGAGGCAACAAGAUGAAAAUGUGGAUGACAUAGUCGUGCAUGUCAUAAACGAACUGUGGCUCGUGGCUUAUUGGAAGAGACAAUUGAAGCAAGAGCACAAUGAUGCUUAUCAAGAACAUAUAGACCAUUCUCAUAUCGACCGACUCCCAGUACCGUUAUGGUAGCUUGAUCCUGUAUAGCAAAGCUAAAAGAAUCAAAGAUAACCCGACAAUUAAGUUGUUUUGUGACUUGACUAAUAAAAAUAAGGUUUUUCAUAAUGUCAGAAACAACAAGAAUAUUAGAUAAAACAAGGGAGCUUUAGGGAACAAUAUUAGAAACAGAACCUUUGUGAGAAAUAGAAAGAGAUUGUCCAUUACCAAUCAGGACACGUUCAUUGCUAGUGUAUAUAAUGGACACAUCUAAAUUGUCUAAGUUGUUUGUUAUGUGUGAGGUGGCACCAGAAUCAAGAAACCACUCAGGAUUAUUGAAGUCUUGGACAGUGCAUGCAGAAAAGGUUUCAGCUAUGUUAGCGGACUGUUUCUUUUUAAGUUUCAAGAAACUCCAGCAACGUUUGGCCAAGUGGCCCUUUUUGUCACACAAUUGACAAUAAACAGUAGUGUUGGAUGGUGUUUUAACAUUGUCAGAGUAUGCAGAAGUCGUGGAGAACCGUGACUUUCCUCUCUUUGGUUUUGACUUACGUUAUGUCUAUUGUGUAUAAUAAACAAAAGUGGAUGGCGAUUGGGAAACAAACUUGGCAAAUAUCUCAUGACUCAAAGCUUUUGGAACAAUCUUUGAGAAUGAGGGUAAUGGAAGUUAUGAGAUCAUUGUGGUGGAGAAAAUCUUGUAGUCUAGUCCUAAUGCUCAUAAAUACUAAUGGACUUUAUUUGUGUCAUCAACAGGAUGACUAAUAGCAACCAGUUGAUCACAAAGUCCCUUGAAAACUCGGGAGAACUCAACAAUGGAUUGAGAUCCUCGUUGCAUUAGUUGGAGUUCAUCCUUGAGAUGCAAUUCACGAGUAUUUGAUCAGUGUGAGAAGGAAACUUCAAGAACUUGCCAAGCCUCAAGUGAGUGUCAUAAACCCAGUACCUCACUCAUGGAUUCCUUUGUAAGAGAAGAAAACAACAAACUCAGAAGCAUUUGGCCUAUAUGCAGCCAAGAAUUGUGCUCAGGAUUUGGCUUUGUGACUCCACUAGAAUAAGUAAUCACAACACAUGGAGCAACGAUGCUCCCAUCCAACAAACCGAAGAGUUAUGGACUAGUUAACAAGGGAAUAACCUGAUUUCUCCACAACAGAUAAUUGAAAGAGGUCAGUUUAAUGGUGAGCAUGUACACCAUUGUGUUGAGCAAAAGAGUAGGGCAUGAAGAAGAUGAAUCUGCCAUGAUUACAAUCUCCAUCCGGGCUUUGAUACCAUAAAAGAGUUUGACAAAUUGUUUAACAAGCCCUGGCAUUAUAUACUAACAUUACAGCUAAAGAAUCGUAUAUAAUAGGAUUCGAUUCGAUAAGUACAAGUAAACAAACUAGUUACAAGGAAUUCUAUGUUAAUUAGAAUGUAGAUAUCUUAGGGAUAACUCUUAUAGGAGUAAUAGCAUCAAUAAUUACACAGCCACCGGGGAGGAUACUGAGGAAGGGACCCGAUUCUCAGCUGGAAUCUCAACAAAUUCAGAGAGGAUUGCUCGGAACUCAUCACCAGUCAUAGUUUCCUUCUCGAGGAGGACUUCCACAAUCUUAUCAAUGGCCUCACGGUUGUACCUUAUGUGGCUCAAUGCAAUUUCAUAUGCACUGUCUGAUAUCCUCUUCACGGCAGAAUCAAUGUCUUCCGCUAGCUUUUCUGACAUUGAGUUCCUUGCCAUCAUUCUCAUGAUGACGUCACCACUUUGAGCUGAUGCGUCCAUGAGUGACCAUGGGCCAAUUUCAGACAUUCCAAACGUGGUUACCAUCUGUAACAGGCCAGAUUAAUCAUACUCCUCAUUUCAAUUAAAUUGCUCCGAUAAAAUAUACAAAAGGAAGUGUAGAACCACAUACAAAAAACGAAAGAUAGAGAUACCACACGCAUCACUCAAGGAGCAAGGAAAAGACAGCAAAUGUCACUUCAAAUGUUUAGUUACCUGUUUAGCCAAACCGGUGACCUGCUGCAAAUCACCAGCUGCCCCAGUAGUCACCUCCGACUCACCAAAGAUCACUUCUUCAGCAGCUCUGCCACCUAAGCCACCAACUAUUCUUGCAAAAAGUUGCUGCUUGGAGAUCAAUGUGGGAUCAUCUGCAGGAAUAAACCAGGUGAGACCCCGUGCCUGGCCUCGCGGAACGAGGGUGACUUUCUGAACUGCAUCAUGCCCUGGAGUCAAAGUUCUGAAUAGAACAGUAAGGAGCGUUAUGCUCUUUUCCAACAAAGUAUCUCCACGAGAACAAGUGAUGAUAACCUAGGUAGAGAGAUAAUUUCGGACUCACAAACAUACAGGUGAAGGGACAAUCAGGUGUCUUCAUUAAAGCGACAAUACAGACAAGUUUUUAGUGAUGCAUUUCAUCACUGCCAAGUAAACUAGGAAUGCAUGCAAGAUAGAGAUGGAGCAUCUGAAGUCACCAAUAACAGGGCCACUAUUUCUCUAAUUCCGCUUCUCAACAUGAGAUAACCAUCAAAUUGAGUUCCUAGCAUUACUACUCAGUUCUAUUCAGAUUUACUCAAUGACAUAUUUUAUAAAAUAAGUUAGAAAUUUAAUGAGUUGAAUUUCCAUGAGACAGAAACGGGCUAUUAUCUCACUUACCCGCAAAUGGCAUGGCCAACUUCAUGGUAUGCAACAAGACUUUUACUCUUUCCAUCUGUCAUAACGGUUCCUUCCAUUCCAGCGACAAUCCUAUCAAUUGAAUCAUCAAUCUCUUUAGAUGAAAUUGCUGUCUUUCCACGCCGCCCAGCUAGGAUAGCUGCCUCAUUCAAGAGGUUUGCAAGAUCAGCCCCACUGAAACCAGGUGUUCUCAUGGCUACCACAUCAAGAGACACAUCAGCAUCAAAUUUCUUGUUGCUAGCAUGAACUUUCAGUAUCUCUGUUCUUCCCCGUACAUCCGGGACAUCAACAGUCACCUGCAUUAAAGCUUCAUAAUGAGGACUGCCCCGAAGAACAAUAUGAAACCAAUACGAACAUGAUAACAUAUUCUUACCUGUCUAUCAAACCGUCCUGGCCUCAACAAGGCAGAGUCAAGAAUGUCUGCCCUGUUAGUUGCUGCAACGACAAUGAUGCCAGUAUUACCCUCAAAACCAUCCAUUUCUGUCAGAAGCUGGUUAAGGGUCUGCUCUCUUUCAUCAUUUCCUCCGCCAAUUCCAGUUCCUCUUUGCCUUCCCACGGCAUCAAUUUCAUCCACAAACACAAUGCAAGGAGCAUUCUCU
rnacentral:lncRNA from 1 species